rnacentral:rRNA from 1 species
UCGGGAAUAUUGCGCAAUGGAGGAAACUCUGACGCAGUGACGCCGCGUAUAGGAAGAAGGUUUUCGGAUUGUAAACUAUUGUCGUUAGGGAAGAAAUUGACAGUACCUAAGGAGGAAGCUCCGGCUAACUAUGUGCCAGCAGCCGCGGUAAUACAUAGGGAGCAAGCGUUAUCCGGAUUUAUUGGGUGUAAAGGGUGCGUAGACGGGAAAUUAAGUUAGUUGUGAAAUCCCUUGGCUUAACUGAGGAACUGCAACUAAAACUGAUUUUCUUGAGUACUGGAGAGGAAAGUGGAAUUCCUAGUGUAGCGGUGAAAUGCGUAGAUAUUAGGAGGAACACCAGUGGCGAAGGCGACUUUCUGGACAGUAACUGACGUUGAGGCACGAAAGUGUGGGGAGCAAACAGG